rnacentral:misc_RNA from 1 species
UCGCAGAUGAGCGGUAAGUCGACCAGUCCUUCCGCCGGGGAGGGAUGCCCCCAUACGCGCGCCACAUACUGCUUUUUCGGCUCACGUUCGCGGAACUGACGUUUUAGCUCUCGCUCCGCGGCUUUGGUCAGCGCCACUACAAUCACGCCGCUGGUGGCCAUAUCCAGACGAUGCACCGACUCUGCCUGCGGGUAGUCACGCUGGAUACGCGUCAUAAUGCUGUCUUUGUGCGCUUCCAGACGCCCCGGCACGGACAACAGUCCGCUGGGCUUAUUGACCACCAUAAUGUGCUCAUCCUGAUACAGGAUAACCAGCCAGGGUUCCUUCGGCGGAUUGUAGUUUUCCAUCCCCAUGUAC